UCCUAGAGGUGAGCGGCAGAGCACAGCCACGCACCCCCCCCACUCUCUCUGAUGAAGAUCAGAGACAGAGACUAAUCAAAUGCCGUCAUGUCCGACGUAGCUCAGACUGUAGUCCUUGUGCCCCCCAACUGAUUGUGAACUUUUUUUUUUUUGCGAUUUUCUCACCGAACAGAUUACUGUGUGAAUUUAUGGUUUAUAGGCCCCCCGGAACAAUUUAUGGUUUAUAGGCCCCCCCGGAACCUGACGAAAGGACACGUGGGAUUUACAUACAAACUGAAAUCACCUCACUUCACCGUAAGACAUUGUUUAGUUCACCCUAGAAUCCAGUCGCAUCGAAUCUUACUGCACACGCAUAAAGUAUUAAAUAUAGAUUAAAAAAUAACUAAUUGUAUAAUUUGUCUGCAAUUUGCGAGACGAAUCUUUGGAGCUAAAGAUGGCAACGGGUACCCAAAACCCGAUGGGUUUUUACUCUAUUAGGGUAUGGAAACAAUUUUGAGUUAGUAUUAGAAAAGGUAGAGAAAAGGUAGUGUUGUCUACCUGAGUUUUAACAAGGAAAACGAGCCGACAUGUUUUUGUUUUUAGUUAUUACUCACAAUAUGAUGUUUUUAGUCUCAUAUCGCCAAC
rnacentral:lncRNA from 1 species